rnacentral:rRNA from 1 species
AACGAACGCUGGCGGCAUGCCUAACACAUGCAAGUCGAACGAGACCUUCGGGUCUAGUGGCGCACGGGUGCGUAACGCGUGGGAACCUGCCCUUAGGUUCGGAAUAACUCCCCGAAAGGGGUGCUAAUACCGGAUAAUGUCUUCGGACCAAAGAUUUAUCGCCUUUGGAUGGGCCCGCGUUGGAUUAGCUAGUUGGUAGGGUAAAAGCCUACCAAGGCGACGAUCCAUAGCUGGUCUGAGAGGAUGAUCAGCCACACUGGGACUGAGACACGGCCCAGACUGCGAGGGGGGGGUGCAGGGGGAAAGAUUGAAAAACGGGAGAAGGCAGGAGCCAGAAAGGCUGGGGGAGUGAGGACGACGGGAGGGUUGAAGAGUGCUGCAACGCGGGAAGAGAACGACGGUACGGGGAGAAGCAGAGCCGGCGAACGCCGCGCCAGCGGCCGCGAGGAUACUCGGAACAGCAAAGGUCGGAAU